ACAAAGCAAAUGCCUUUAUAAAAAGUGACUGUUAAGAUUGCAUAAUAAAGGAAUCUGGACUAGAAGGGUGAUAGAACAAUAAAAGCAGUUUGCUCUAGUGGUGGGAUCCUUGGUACCUUUUCAUUUAAGUCUUGGUUAAUGUUAUGUGUUUAAUAAAUAGCACCUAUUUAAAGUGAUAUAUUUAGAUUAAAAUUAUUUCAAAGAUGUCAUUUAUAUUCUUAAAAUUAGGUACUUCCUCCUGAUGAAUGUUUUCAGGUGAUUCAUUUUAAUGGAGAAUGAAAUAAAGCUAUAUUAUCUGCCCAAAACUGAAUGUAUUUCAAAGACCCUAUUAGACAAAGAAUUAGAACCACUGGAGUUUACGUAGUUUAAUAAUCUAAACAAAAAUAUACCUUCCACAAAAGAAGAGAAAUAUUUAGUGAGUACCUAUCGUGUACCAGGCUCUUACUCUUCCUAGUCAUUCUAUAAGACGGAUGCUUGGAGCCACAUUUCACAGAUGAGAAACAGGGCAGGGAUAGCGAGGAGGCAACAGAACCUGACUGAAGACUCCACAGCCCAUGCCCUGCUGUUCCAACUCUUGAUGGGGCCACCGCCAUAAUUAAAUAUCAACAUGUAUCUCGUUCACUAAAGACUAUUUAUGCCUGAGCAUGCAAUAAUCAGAAAUACCAAACACACUCAAAAGAUAUGCACACAAAAUCCACAUAAUAAUUGUAUGUUUCCAGCACUUUGUUAGGCAACAUGGUCUCUUCUUUCAACCUUGUUAGCUAGAUGAAAUUACUAGAUAACAGCCUAUCAGAGAACAGUAACAGCGGCAGGUAACCUGAGAUCAAGGGAUGUGCUUUAGAACAUAAGCCCCCCUAAACAGUGCAUAUAUAAUUAUCUCCCAGGUAUCCCCGAUUCUAACAGUUGCUCCACCCUCCUCUUUCUUCCUUUAUUCCCUGCUCUCUCUCAAGCUCCUCAAACUUUCCACUCCCCAGUCUCAACUGUAAUCGCCUGUCAGUGGGAGUGGGAAAAGGGAAGGAUGGGGAGGAAAUGAAGAAAACACAAGCAAGACUCCUCUUCUGAAGCUGUUGAAGUAACUUCUUAUCGAACACUCUACCCUAGGGCUGCCAGUUGGCAGUUGGAAGAAAAGGAAAAGCGAAGGGUAAAAAGAUGACAAGGUUAUCAGUCCAGAGAUAGAGUGAAGAUAUAAAAAGGCUACUCAGUGGUAGUAGUGACUCUGCGCUACCUCCUAGGCAGCCCAGUCCCACAGAGACCCAGCAGUUGGCCAGAAGGACUGUGUAUUGGCAGCUUUCACAAAAGUGGACUUCGUCAAGUCUGAAGAGUCUUCAAGUGUGAAACUUGGUGCACAAGCAUUUGUAUCACACCAUUUCAACACUAUUCCUAAUAUCAUAAAGCUGUUCAAUGUCCAAAAACUGGUGACUUACAAUGCACUUAAAAGGCACUCAUUAAUAAAAGUAUCUUCAAAAACCA
rnacentral:lncRNA from 1 species